rnacentral:lncRNA from 1 species
ACACUAAGUAUUACUUGCCGUUAAGUAGCUGAAAAUUACUACUCCAUCGAAACAUCAAAGCCACAAAAUUGCCAAAGGAUGGUAUGGUUGCACCAACGGUUAGCCUGCAGUAAAAUUCAAAAUUGUAGCUGGCACUUCUUCGAUUACGCCUGUAAUGUAAGGAAAAUACAAAUGGAGCUAACCAUUUCUUUCUAGCUUUAUUUGACAAUCCCUCUCUCCAAAGGCUAUCCUUGUCAAGUAAUUAAAUCCCACUAAAUAUUGUUAAUUAGUUAUGGGCCAUUUAUCAUUUUCUUGUACUUCACGAACAUGCUAUUGAUGAUGCAUGCAUGUUAUAUAUCGAUAAUUUCAACAUAUACGAUUCUCAAAC